rnacentral:misc_RNA from 1 species
UUGAGCCCUACGCGGGGAAACUUGCACGUACGGCUUGAGGGACGGGGCACAGUAAUGUGCUCCUGCCUGCCGACAUCAU